rnacentral:rRNA from 1 species
CAAUUCACAAUACCUAUCGCAUUUCGCUGCGUCCUUCAUCGAUGCCAGAACCAAGAGAUCCGUUGUUGAAAGUUUUAGUUUAUUAACUUGUUUUUCAGACUGCGAAGUUUCACUGACUGGAGUUUUAUGGUCCUCUGGCGGGCGCUGGCCAGCCCCCCGAAGGGCGCCGGUGCGGAGGACCGCGGCCCGCCAAAGCAACAGAGGUAGGUACACAUUGGGUGGGAGAGUCGAGCCGGAGCUCGAAUCAACUCGGUAAUGAUCCUUCCGUAGGUGAACCUGCGGAAGGAUCAUUA